CAGUAGCCGGGGAAUACGGAGGGGGCUAGCGUUGUUCGGAAUUACUGGGCGUAAAGCGCACGUAGGCGGCAUGGUAAGUUAGAGGUGAAAGCCUGGAGCUCAACUCCAGAAUUGCCUUUAAGACUGCCGAGCUAGCAGGUGAGAGAGGUAAGUGGAAUUCCGAGUGUAGAGGUGAAAUUCGUAGAUAUUCGGAAGAACACCAGUGGCGAAGGCGGCUUACUGGCUCAUACUGGACGCUGAGGUGCGAAAGCGUGGGGAGCAAACAGGAUUAGAUACCCCUGUAGUCCCUGUCUCUUAUACC
rnacentral:rRNA from 1 species